AAAAACGCCCUUUUUAGGGCGACUAAAUCCAUUCAUAAAGAGUUAAU
rfam:Phlebotomus papatasi Contig5119.2, whole genome shotgun sequence.